GAUGAACGCUAGCGACAGGCCUAACACAUGCAAGUCGAGGGGUAACGAUUUAGUAGCUUGCUACUGAAGGCGACGACCGGCGCACGGGUGCGUAACGCGUAUGCAACCUACCCAUUACAAGAGGAUAGCUCAGAGAAAUUUGGAUUAAUACUCUAUGGUACUCAGCUAAAGCAUUUUAGUUGUUUUAAAGGAUUCGUCCGGUAAUGGAUGGGCAUGCGUAUGAUUAGUUAGUUGGUAGGGUAACGGCCUACCAAGACGAUGAUCAUUAGGGGUUCUGAGAGGAUAGUCCCCCACACUGGUACUGAGACACGGACCAGACUCCUACGGGAGGCAGCAGUGAGGAAUAUUGGUCAAUGGACGCAAGUCUGAACCAGCCAAGUCGCGUGCAGGAAGACUGCCCUAUGGGUUGUAAACUGCUUUUAUAUAGGAAUAAUGUUAGUUACGUGUAACUAUUUGAAUGUACUAUAUGAAUAAGCACCGGCUAACUCCGUGCCAGCAGCCGCGGUAAUACGGAGGGUGCAAGCGUUAUCCGGAUUUAUUGGGUUUAAAGGGUGCGUAGGCGGGUUCAUAAGUCAGUGGUGAAAGUCUGUCGCUCAACGAUAGAAUUGCCAUUGAAACUGUGGAUCUUGAAUACAGUAGAGGUAGGCGGAAUAUAUUGUGUAGCGGUGAAAUGCAUAGAUACGAUAUAGAACACCAAUUGCGAAGGCAGCUUACUAUGCUGUGAUUGACGCUGAUGCACGAAAGCGUGGGUAGCGAACAGG
rnacentral:rRNA from 1 species